rnacentral:misc_RNA from 1 species
AAAAAAGCAUCUCAUACAAGUUCUGAGGAGUCGGACUCAGAUAGCUCCUCAGAUGAGCAAACUGAGUUACCUGCAAAGGCUUCAGCUCCACAGAUUGUUCCACAGGGAACUACCAAAAAAAAUGCUGAACCAAGUAGUAGCUCUGAUGAAAGUGAGAGCUGUGAUGACAGUGAUUCUGAUGAAGAAAAGGCUGCUUCUGCAAAGGCCCCUGCUUCUAAGAGGGUUGCUUUACCAGCAAUACAAAUAACAAAGCUCAAUCUAGUGAUGAUUCUGAUGAUAGUGAUUCUGAUAAGGAUAAGGGCACAACCACAAAGGCAAUAACAGCUGUUUUGAAAGUGCAGACAUCAGAAAAGAGUGAUGGGAAUGGCAGUUCUGAAAGCGAGUCUGAUGACUCUGACUCUGAUGCUUCUGCAGCCAAGGCUGCUGUUGGUUCAAAAAGGCCAUCUUCAGUGGCUCAAACUAAGGAAUCAAAAAAGGUUAAGAUAGCUCAAAAGGAAAGCAGCAGUUCUGAGGAGAGCUCCAGUGAUAGUUCAGAUGAUGAAGAAGAAAGCGAGGAUGAUAAACCUGUGAAAACCCCAAAGAAAAAUGGCGCUGAUGUGGAAAUGGUAGAUGUUGCAACUCCACAGGCAACUGCCAAGAAGGCUGAUUUGCAAUCUGCUAAGAAAGCUCCCAAAACUCCAGUUACUCCUGAGGUUCAGUCUAUGGGAUCAAAGACAUUGUUUGUUGGCAACUUACCUUUUCAAGUUGAACGAGCUGAUGUGGAAAGUUUCUUUGAAGGUGCUGGUCAAAUUGUUGAUGUGCGCUUUGCUAUGGACAACGAUCAGAGGUUUAAGGGCUUUGGACAUGUUGAGUUUAGCACAGCUGAAGCAGCACAGAAGGCUCUUAAAUUGAAUGGUCAAAGUUUAAAUGGCCGGCGACUUAGACUUGAUUUGGCACGUGAAAGGGGUGAAAGGGGUUCGUUCGCACCUUAUAGCGGCAG